GAUGAAGAACGCAGCGAAAUGCGAUAAGUAAUGUGAAUUGCAGAAUUCAGUGAAUCAUCGAAUCUUUGAACGCACCUUGCGCCCUUUGGACUUCUGAAGGGCAUGCCUGUUUGAGUAUCAUGAACACCUCAACUCCUUAUGGUCUUCCAUGAUGAGCUUGGACUUUGGGGGUUUUGCUGGCCUACAGUCAGCUCCUCUAAAAUAAAUCAGCUUACCGGUGUUUGGUGGGUAUCAUGGGUGUGAUAACUAUCUACGCUCGUGGUUUUCCACCAGGUAACCUUCAGCAGUGGAGGUUCACUGGAGCUCAUAAAUGUCUCUCCUCAGCGAGGACAGCCCUUUGAAUGUUUGAUCUCAAAUCAGGUAGGACUACCCGCUGAACUUAAGCAUAUCAAUAAGCGGAGGA
rnacentral:misc_RNA from 1 species